UACGUAGGGGGCAAGCGUUGUCCGGAAUCAUUGGGCGUAAAGAGCGUGUAGGCGGCUCGGUAAGUCCGCUCUGAAAGCCCGGGGCUCAACCCCGGGAGGCGGGCGGAUACUGUCGGGCUAGAGUCCGGAAGAGGCGAGUGGAAUUCCUGGUGUAGCGGUGAAAUGCGCAGAUAUCAGGAGGAACACCAAUGGCGAAGGCAGCUCGCUGGGACGGUACUGACGCUGAUGCACGAAAGUGUGGGGAUCAAACAGG
rnacentral:rRNA from 1 species